rnacentral:lncRNA from 1 species
CUCGUACAUCUGCUAAACAGGUCAACAUGGAAACUUCAACUGCAUUAUACUCACAAAAGCGAUCAAAUUCUUGCCAACUCUGUGAACUGCCCCAGCUCGUGCUAUAAAGCUUAGUACAGAGCUCCCUACAUGUGGAAGAGUUUGCUUUAGAACAACAAUGAAGUUUUGCUCCAUCGAGGCCUGUUGAAGGUGGAGGGUGAACAGUGACUCCUGGGUGAACAGAUCUUGAACUCUCAAGAAAACAUUGCCAAAGUGGAUCCUGAGGAAGAGGCAUUGUUUUACAGCCUUCUAUAAGUCCAUCAACAAUUUCAAGCUCUGUUUUCAUUGACAUUAGAAUUCUUUUACAAGCAGUCUGACAUGCAUAGUCUUCUGCUCUAUCACAGCAAUACAAACUAUCUGUAGGAUUCCUCAUUGGAUAGGAUUGUGUAUAGUUGUUCACACAGUGUAUUAGCUGAGGGCUAAUAGAUGCACAGUAAUUUUCAACUGCUUUUAUUUGUGAAGGACCAGGGGAAGAGUCUGUCCGAAAAAUUGCUUGACAAUAUUCUCGACAGUUUGUGUGAUGACCUGCAUAACUGCAACAGAUUGACCCCAUUUCAUUUCUGUUAAUACAACUAAAGAGAGCAUUCUCAUAUUCCUUUCUACAGACUUUUAAAAUAUCAUUCUUUGAAGAAGCCUGUUUACAUGCUUGCCGACAUUCCACAGCAAUAGCUAGCUCACAGCAACCUAAACCAACCCAACCAUCAGACUUCUUCAGAACUCCUGGCAAAGAAGAAUUUAUACAACCCCAAACUUCUCCCAUUGAUUCUGGACAAUAUUCAGGUGCCCGUUGCAGUAAAUGUUUUAAACGGGAAUCACUCUUAGAAGACAAAAUCUGUUCACAGACAUCCCGGCACAUUAGAUUGUCCUUCGCGUGGUAACA